AGCGGGGGCGGUAUUACAGUCGGUUUUUGGCACCGUUGUGACGACAAGAGAGCUGAGCCGGAAAGCAAAGAUCUCGAUCAACCGGUCCGUUUUCAUUUCUACCCUCACAUAUGGUCAUGAAGGCUGGGUCAUGACCGAAACAACAAGAUCCAGAAUACA